UUGUCAUCAAUUCUCUCUUCUCAGUUCCCUACGUGUCUUCCUCCUAUGUUACCAAUGUACACAUUUCUCUACUCUCUCUGUAUCUGUAUCUUCUUCAUUUAUGCUCCACCAUCUGUGCAUCAGCAUUCUCCAGAUGCAGCAUUUUGCUUUAGAAGUUCAUUUGAUGAUUGAGGGGACAGACCAUUGUUUUCUUCUUCAACAGCAUCAGCAGAUUGAGCAUGGAUCAUGCCAUUGUUUUCUUCUUCCUUAAUACUCUCGUUGGACAUCACGUUCACAGAGACUAAUGGAGCAGUGUCUACCGUCAUCUCAGUUGAUUUGCAGGAUGCAGAUGAACUCAUUGUGCCUUUUCACACCAGUAGUAGAGCAAUUUGAGAAGUAGUGAAAGUGUGAAGUUAAGGAUAUACAACUACUCUACGAGAAUGUCAUCUACGGGUAUGUCCGUCAAUGUUUUCUUCCGCCUUUUAUUUUGAUCUCCCUUUUCGUUGUGUAUUAGUUUUCUCUAUCUUCGUUGAGUUCAGUAGAGAAUAUUAGCAAACCAUAGUUUUCAGAUCCACUUUGAGUAUUUGAUUGACAACAAACAUGUCAUGGCACCAAAUAUCUUUCACCACAAGGCACUGACCUGGCCCUAUCACCUAUCUUGCAAGUUCUCAUAGAUUCUUGAGCUUUUUAUUUAAUAAUCAAAAGCAAAAUUAGGAAAAAGCAAAAUGAGUAUUUACUCUGUAAUUUGUACAUAAGGAUAAAGGCUAAGAAAAAAAUUCUUUGAGUUUAAUUUGUCAAAGUAGUCGGUUCAUAACCAUAAAUCUAAUUUUAGCUCUUCUCUUGUCAGCAUAGCAGACCUGCAUGAUUGACGAUUAGUGAACUAUAGUCUUGCAGAAACUUCACAUUGCAAGCACGAAAUAGAAUUUGAACUAGCAACAAGAUGAUAGUUGAACACCAAAUAAAGUAUAACCACAUUAAAGUCCCUGAAAACCAGAAAUGACAUCUCUAAAAUAUAACACUAUUCUGAUGUCCAUAAGAGACAAAAGGUCAGUUGUAUCCACCUAGGGGGGAAAUGGGGAAGUGGAGGAAACCCCACUCCUGUUUACAAGGUGCUUAGGUAAAAAGCUGAAUAGUUCAAACACCACACAUUGCUAACUUCAACUUUAACUACUUCAACAGAUUGUAAUCCAGAUGGGUUUAAGAAAGUGAAGGAAUUAUUUCGCAUUUUGUUGUAGGAUAUAGGUAUAGCUAUAGAUUAUAGAUCAUAGUAUAGUAAAUAGUAUGUAAUAUUGGAGAUAGAAUUGCAUUAAAUAAUAUUUCUGGAGAAGUAUCAUCAGUGCAUAUAAAUGGAAUGACUGACAAUAACAUGAUGGAUUUUAGCAGCAGAAAAAAGUCUUUUGAGGAACUCUGCAUGUUAGCAGUACUUUCAUAUCAGAUAAAACUUACUCAAUAGUUACCCACCAAAAGAGAGACAAUAAGUAGGAAUUUCCCAUGGCCAUAGCUACAACCCACUCUUCCAGCCUUGAUUGGGGUUAAUUAGUGUGUACACAAACACAUCAUCCACCACACCUGUUCCUACUUUUCAUUUCGUUUAUAAAAAAAUUGCCAUUUGUCGGUUAGCUUUACACGUAUUUCAAUUAUUUCAGAUUAUUAUAUACGAUUUGAAUUUUAUUGAUUAUUUAAGAGCAAUGCAAAUACACAAAAAAUUUAGGUAUUAAUAUUAUAGGCAGUAUGGCCAUUGUGUUUAGGACUUAAAAUUUUGCCAAUGUAUUUUUGCUGGAAAACAUGAAUACAUUUUCUAAAUGGAGGUGGCUCUUGGACACUUCAAGAAGUGGAGUGUGACUGAAAGCUUGAGUCACGUGCGUAAUUACAUGAAGGUAUGCAAUCUUUUUCUCUCCGUGUCCUUGUGUGCGUGCAUGGUUGGUAUCUGGUUUUCUAUGGGUUUUGAGAACAUUUUUGCGCUGGAGUAAUUUGUUCAUGUCUUAUCGGUGUGUUGAAGUGUUUUUGUAUUUAAAAGAAUAGCCACAUUAUAUAUAUAUAUAUAUAUAUAUCAGAAUGUUUGUUUAAGACUCUUGUAAACUUAAAGAACUCAAGUUACAUGUUAUUGUUACAUGUAAAAUUCGAGAACAAAUUUUCCCGGUCAUCUCGAAGGGAAUUCUUGGAACUCAGCCAUUAGAGUUUUGACUCAUUUGUUAUGCCUUGCAUUUACAGCUUGACCCCUUCUUGCUUCCAGUUGUCCAAGGCAGCAUCCUUGUAAUUCAGUUAAAUACAUGAUUUUUUUCAAGUAGUAUAGCUACUUCAACUACUGCAUAAUGAGAGUUAUUAUUGUUCCAUUUUGAUGUAUGCCUUUACUUAUAAGAUUUUCUCAAUUUCCAAUUUGCAACUGGGAAAGACAUUAUUGAUGUUACGCUGAUUGCAAGGAGGUGCAACAGGAGACCUGGUAUAUCUUCUUCUUGUUUUUUCUUUCAACUUUGCAAUUUGGCCAAGCAUGGUAAAUGCAAGUGAUGAACUAGCAAUUGGCUCGUUAAUGUAGCCACUCGAAUGGGAGAAGAGGGGCUGAUUCUGAUGGAUUUGUUGCAAUUUUGUGGAAAGCGAGCAAAUUAUCCAGUUGAAAGGGUAUAAAGUAUCAUUGUUCAGUACAGGACCUCUCAGAUGCAAUGUACAUUUUGGUACAGCAGAGGGCAAUAAAACUGAAUUUUCUGCCUGAUAAUAGCACAUAUUUCAUUUGCUAGAACUUUCAUUAGUUACUUCCUUCAGGUAUAUAACUCCCUCUGUCAAAAAGGAAAAGAUUGAAUCCACGAAGGGAGUAGCACUUGGACUAUGAAGCAGUAGAAAAUAUCUCGCACUAACAUAUUCCUGGACAAUGAUCAUGUUUGGUUGUUAUGAUUACUUUCGGCAGGUUUCAUGUUCUAGAAGAGUUUGAUGAGGGGAAGCGGAGCUGUCGUAGGCGUUUAGCUGGUCAUAACAAACGAAGAAGGAAAACACAUCCAGAAAAUGUAGCUAAUGGAGCCUCCGUGAAUGAUGAGGGGGGUAGCAACUACUUAUUAAUUAGUCUGCUGAGGAUACUGGCCAAUGUACAGUGUAAGUCCUUAUAUGGAUUCCAUGGUUUUCCUGCGAUAUAUUCAUUUUGUAUGACAAAAGAUGUUGGGAAAAUUAAUAAGGUGAUAGCAUUUACAUAAUAAUGUGAGUUCUUUCACUGUACGGUAAUUGGCUAGAGUGUUAUUCUUUAUGUGGUGCAAGAGGGCUAGAGUGCCAUUCUUUAUGUGGUGCAAGAGGCUGAGAAAGAAAAGAAUGUAUAGUUGUCCUUUGCCUGGUAUAACAUCGACUUGAUGAAUACAACGAUGUCUAUUCCAUAA